rnacentral:rRNA from 1 species
CCUACGGGUGGCUGCAGUGAGGAAUAUUGGUCAAUGGGAGGAAUCCUGAACCAGCCAUGCCGCGUGCAGGACGAAGGCUCUACGGGUUGUAAACUGCUUUUGUACCGGGGUAAAAUGCCUUAAGUGUAGGGUUUUGAAAGUACGGUACGAAUUAGGAUCGGCUAACUCCGUUCUAGCAGCCGCGGGAAUACGGAGGAUCCGAGCGUUAUCCGGAUUCAUUGGGUGUAAAGGGUGAGUAGGUUGUUUUAUAAGUUCGCGGUGAACUACCGAUGCUCAACAUCGGGGCUGACGCUAAUACUGUAGGACUAGAGAUCGGAUGCAGCAGGCGGAAUGUGUAGGGUAGCGGUGAAAUGCAUAGAUAUUACACAGAACACCGAUUGCGAAGGCAGCUUGCUAGGCCGGAUCUGACACUGAUGCACGAAAGCGUGGGGAUCGAACAGGAUUAGAUACCCUUGUAGUC